GCUCGAGUUCUCUGAUGAGCCGACAGUACUCCCGAGUCGUCGCAUAAGUAAACGCCGUGAAUUGAAAGCACUCUUAGAUAUCUUUUUGCACGAUAUUGCAACGCUUAAAGCAAGAAUACGCGACAUAUCAGAACUCCACGCUUUAACAGUGGCCGUAAAAAAACCCGAUCUGAACAAUGGAUUUCUCGCUCGUCAAUCAAACAGGCCUUUUGGAGUCCGUCUACCCCGUCAAAAAACUGGCCGAUCUUGAACUAGCCAAAGAUUACCGCAUCACAUGUAUUCGGUUCGUCGAAACGAGAUGGGGCAAACGAAUCGUCAUGGACGUGGACAACUCGUUUACAUGCUUCCUACCGUUAAGAUUCGUGAAAGUUUUCGAAGAUAAGAACGUUUUAUUCCAGCAGAUGUGCGCUGCAGCCUCAAACAAUAAAUUAAUCAUGGUGUACCACGGCACGGAAUACAACAGACUGGAGUUCAAACCUGCUGAAGAAUGAUCAUAAACAGAAUCGUCCGACCAUCUAAGCAGCAUACCUCACAAGCCGCCGCUCCAUGGUCAUCGGUCCCGUCGUGAAAUCGGCCGAAAACCAAAAAAAUAUCCACAAAAAAUACCCCCUACUACUAUAUGUAUUGCGAAUUAUGCACCAUAUUAUAACCAGAAUUGUAAAAUUAAUAAGAGCUGAAAUAUAUAUAUAUGUACGGAGAAAAAAAUAAAAAAAAAGGUGGUGCACUAUGGUGACACGCUCAUCCACGCUCC